UAUAUAAUCGUGAUCGAACAUUUGUUGAAUACGUCAUUCUGAUCUAUAUACCUGUCUGGUUGUUACACGUUCACCUUGUAGGAUCUUAAUUUCUGGCGUUAAUUUAUCCAUUUAGAGAAACUUAUUGAAUACAUCUGAAGGGGAAAGAAAAUGUUAUCACUCAAAGUGGCGAUAGUUUCAUUUGCCUUUGUUAUGGUUCUAACCAUGGCAGACUCGGCAGCAGCUCCUAACUGUGAUCCAGACCAAUGCUUUGUCCCGGACAAUUGCAAGAAUGGCCUGUUUAUACCACCUGGACAAUGUUGUCCGAAGUGUAAAGGAGAAGUAAAAUGCAAGAAAGAACACAAGAACGAGUUUGGGAUCUGUAUUUCCAACUGCGAAGUUAACAGUGACUGCGAAGCAGAAGGCAAGAUAUGCUGCAAGAAUCCGUGUGGAGGCAAAGUUUGUGAAGAACCUGUGAAUGGAGGGAACAAUUAGAAUUACAGAAAAGAGUGAAAAGAAGUAGAUGAUGAUUCCUUGUGUUAUGUCUUUGUCUAAACAUCAAAAGUUCAAACUAUAUUACUCUUAUUUACAAUUGCUAAACAAACCCGUUUUAUUUGCCAUUUACAAUGCAAGUAUUCAAACAGACAAAACAAUAAGUGUUCGUUCCGAACUUGGUCGGUCCUUCUAGAUGGAUUAAUAUUUGUUAUGAAUGAACAAUAUAAGUUAAGACAAAAAAGGAAAUAAAAUGA